rnacentral:tRNA from 1 species
AAAGGGAGACCUAAUUCGGGUAUAAGACGAAAAAAUAGUAGUCGAAACCAAGAAUCAAUCCCAAAAGGUCGGAACGAGGUAUGUGGCUUUCAAACUAGGUUCUGGGUUCAUAAAAGACCUGAAUCAGGAACAAGGGCUAUUAGCUCAGGUGGUUAGAGCGCACCCCUGAUAAGGGUGAGGUCCCUGGUUCGAGUCCAGGAUGGCCCACCUGCACAGGUGGCAAAAACAAAGAAAAGAAGCGAGGAAUCAGCACCUUAUCUUACUUAUAUAGUAAGAGAGAAUGCUGGCUCUGAGUACAGAGUCCAGAGGAACCUUGGAAACUGCAUAGAGCUAGGUGAAAAAGCCAAAAAAGAAGACCGCAAG